rnacentral:rRNA from 1 species
AGGAUCAUUAUCGUACAAUGGGGGUACCAGGGCUGUCGCUGACUUUUAAAAGAGUCGUGCACGCCCGAGUGCUCUCACAUACAAAUAUCCAUCUCACCCCUUUGUGCAUCACCGCGUGGGUCCCCCUUCCUUCGAGGGGGGUGCUCACGUUUUUAACAUUAAACACCCAUUCGAACGUAGUGUAGAAUGUUUUUUUUUUGCGCGAUCACGCGUGAUCAAUACAACUUUCAACAACGGAUCUCUUGGCUCUCGCAUCGAUGAAAAACGCAGCGAAAUGCGAUACGUAAUGUGAAUUGCAAAAUUCAGUGAAUCAUCGAAUCUUUGAACGCACCUUGCGCCCCUUGGCAUUCCGAGGGGCACACCCGUUUGAGUGUCGUGAACAUCCUCAACCUGCUUGGUUUUUAUCAAUCCAAGUAGGCUUGGAAUUUGGAGGUUUUCUGCUGGCCUCCUCCGAAGCCAGCUCCUCUUAAAUCUAUCAGUGGGAUCCGCUUUGCUUACAUCCUCGACGUUGAUAAGAUGUUUCUACGUCUUGGGUUUUGCUCGGGAAGGACCUGCUUCUAACCCGUCCCAUCAGGGACAAUGUUCGAGCCGAUCGCCCUUCACGGGGUGGGAAGCUUUCGACCCAUCAAACCUUGACCUCAAAUCGGGUGAGACUACCCGCUGAACUUAAGCAUAUCAAUAAGCGGAGGAAAAGAAACUAACAAGGAUUCCCCUAGUAACUGCGAGUGAAGCGGGAAAAGCUCAAAUUUAAAAUCUGGUGGUCUUUCGGCCAUCCGAGUUGUAAUUUAGAGAAGCGUCUU